UGGGGAAUAUUGCACAAUGGGCGCAAGCCUGAUGCAGCAACGCCGCGUGAGGGAUGACGGCCUUCGGGUUGUAAACCUCUUUUAGCAGGGAAGAAGCGAAAGUGACGGUACCUGCAGAAAAAGCACCGGCUAACUACGUGCCAGCAGCCGCGGUAAUACGUAGGGUGCAAGCGUUGUCCGGAAUUAUUGGGCGUAAAGAGCUCGUAGGCGGUCUGUCGCGUCUGCUGUGAAAUCCCGAGGCUCAACCUCGGGCCUGCAGUGGGUACGGGCAGACUAGAGUGCGGUAGGGGAGAAUGGAACUCCUGGUGUAGCGGUGGAAUGCGCAGAUAUCAGGAAGAACACCGAUGGCGAAGGCAGUUCUCUGGGCCGUAACUGACGCUGAGGAGCGAAAGCGUGGGGAGCGAAACAGGAUUAGAUACCCUGGUAGUCCACGCCGUAAACGUUGGGCGCUAGAUGUGGGGACCAUUCCACGGUUUCCGUGUC
rnacentral:rRNA from 1 species